GAUGGAGAACGCAGCGAAAUGCGAUAAGUAAUGUGAAUUGCAGAAUUCAGUGAAUCAUCGAAUCUUUGAACGCACCUUGCGCCCUUUGGCCAUUCCGAAGGGCAUGCCUGUUUGAGUAUCAUGAACACCUCAACUCUCAUGGCUCGCCAUGAUGAGCUUGGAUUUGGGGGUCUUGCUGGCCUGUGGUCGGCUCCUCUCAAAUGGAUCAGCUUGCCAGUGUUUGGUGGCAUCACAGGUGUGAUAACUAUCUGCGCUUGUGGUUUUCCAUCAGAUAACCUUCAGUGAUGGAGGUUCGCUGGAGCUCAUAAACGUCUCCCCUAAGCGGGGACAGCCCUUUGAAUGUUUGAUCUCAAAUCAGGUAGGACUACCCGCUGAACUUAAGCAUAUCAAUAAGCGGAGGA
rnacentral:misc_RNA from 1 species